AUUGAACGCUGGCGGCGUGCCUAAUACAUGCAAGUAGGACGCAGUUGCGAACGGGUGAGUAACGCGUAGGUAACUACCUAUUAGAGGGGGAUAACUAUUGGAAACGAUAGCUAAUACCGCAUACUAGUAGAUGGACCUGCGUUGUAUUAGCUAGUAGGUAGGGUAAUGGCCUACCUAGGCAACGAUACAUAGCCGCGCUGGGGGGGUGAUCGGCCACACUGGGACUGGGACACGGCCCAGACCCCUACGGGAGGCAGCAGUAGGGAAUCUUUGGCAAUGGGGGGAACCCGUACCGAGCCACGCCGCGGGAGUGAAGAAGGUUUUCGGAUCGUAAAGCUCUGUUGUUCAGGAAGCGGUACUUAACCAGAAAGGGACGGCUAACUACGUGCCAGCCGCCGCGGUAAUUC
rnacentral:rRNA from 1 species